AGCGAACGCUGGCGGCCGGCCUAACACAUGCAAGUCGAACGAAGUCUUCGGACUUAGUGGCGGACGGGUGAGUAACACGUGGGAACGUGCCUUUAGGUUCGGAAUAACUCAGGGAAACUUGUGCUAAUACCGAAUGUGCCCUUCGGGGGAAAGAUUUAUCGCCUUUAGAGCGGCCCGCGUCUGAUUAGCUAGUUGGUGAGGUAAAGGCGCACCAAGGCGACGAUCAGGAGCUGGUCUGAGAGGAUGAUCAGCCACAUUGGGACUGAGACACGGCGCAAACGCCUACGGGAGGCCGCAGUGGGGAAUCUUGCGCAAUGGGCGAAAGCCUGACGCAGCCAUGCCGCGUGAAUGAUGAACGUCUUAGGAUUGUAAAAUCCUUUCACCGGGGACGAUAAUGACGGUACCCGGAGAAGAAGCCCCGGCUAAGUGCGUGCCAGCCGCCGCCGUAA
rnacentral:rRNA from 1 species